GCCGGGUGUGGUGGCGCGCGCCUGUAAUCCAAGCUUCAUGGAGGCUGAGGCUGGAGGAUGGUUGGAGCUGAGGAGCUCUGAGCUGCAGUGGACUAUGCUGAUCGGGUGUCCGCACUCAGUUCGGUAUCGAUAUGGUC
rnacentral:sRNA from 1 species